rnacentral:rRNA from 1 species
GGGUCAGUAGGUUGGUCGUGCCACCGGUACGUACUGGUCUCACUGAUUCCUCCUUCCUGAAGAACCGUAAUGCCAUUAAUUUGGUGUUGCGGGGAAACAGGACUGUUACUUUGAAAAAAUUAGAGUGUUUAAAGCAAGUUAACGCUUGAAUACAUUAGCAUGGAAUAAUGAAAUAGGACGAUCGAUCCUAUUUUGUUGGUUUCUAGGAUUGACGUA